AGAACGAACGCUGGCGGCAGGCUUAACACAUGCAAGUCGAGCGCCCAGCAAUGGGAGCGGCGGACGGGUGAGUAACACGUGGGAACAUGCCCUUUGGUACGGGACAACUCAGGGAAACUUGAGCUAAUACCGUAUGUGCCGGUAACGGGAAAGAUUUAUCGCCAAAGGAAUGGCCCGCGUCCGAUUAGCUAGUUGGUGAGGUAAUGGCUCACCAAGGCACCGAUCGGUAGCUGGUUUGAGAGAACGACCAGCCACACUGGGACUGAGACACGGCCCAGACUCCUACGGGAGGCAGCAGUGGGGAAUCUUGGACAAUGGGGGCAACCCUGAUCCAGCCAUGCCGCGUGAGUGAUGAAGGCCUUCGGGUUGUAAAACUCUUUCGACGGGACGAUAAUGACGGUACCCGUAGAAGAAGCUCCGGCUAACUUCGCGCCAGCAGCCGC
rnacentral:rRNA from 1 species